rnacentral:lncRNA from 1 species
UUUUUUUUUUUUUCUUUUUGGUCUUUUUAAGGGUUGCAAUCACGGCAUAUGAAGGUUUCUAGGCUAGAGGUCGAAUCAGAGCUGUAGCCACCGGCUUAUACCACGGCCACAGCCACCGCCACACCAGAUCCGAGUGGCAUGUUCAACCUCCACCACAGCUCACAGCAACACUGGAUCCCUAACCUGCUGAGUGAGGCCAGGGAUUGAAACAUCCUCUUGGAUACUAGUCAGGUUCGUUUCCACUAAGCCAUGAUGGGAACUCCAAGUAUAUAAUACCUUUAUUCUACACAGGUUGACUGAAAGUCUUGUAAAUUCCUGUUCUGUCUGUUACAAAAUUUAUCAGCAAGCAAAAUAGCUUGAGAUGAUUGUUGACCUUUUCCAGAGUCUCCUGAAGUUUUUGUGGGUAAUCCAAACAGAAUCCUUGGAAGCAAGUCACUUAGGUAGAUGUAAAUGGGAUAAGAAUUGUUAAGUGAACUUCUCAGCAAUAAUUGUUUUAUUAUAUGUCUAUGCAAAUAGUUUCCCAAAAUCUUUGGGUAACUUAAAACCUUAAGAGUAUACUAAGUUAAACUAAGUGACGGAAAUUCAUUGACUCUUCUAGAUCAUCUCCAAAUAAGAGAAAAUACAGGGAGUUCCCAUCGUGGCUCAGUAGUUAACAAACCCGACUAGGAUCCGUGAGGACAUGGGUUCGAUUCCUGGCCUCGUUCAGGACCGAACCCACACCUCAUGGUUCCUAGUCGGAUUCAUUAACCACGCCACGACGGGAACUCCUGAACUCCUGAACGUUUUAUUUAUCUUUUAAGCAGUCUGCCUAGAAAGCAAAGAUUUUGUGUUUUACCCAAACAACCUCCCAUGUUUCACCUUUAUAAUCAUACCUUUGGUUACUUAAGCAAACACAGUCUUCUCAAUAUUAAGAGGUGCAUUUUGCUCAGAACAAGUAAAUUUUCACAUUUACCUUUGAAAGCUUUCUGUCACUUUCGUUAAAUGGGUAUUAAGUUUGGUUCAUAUGUAUCUGUGAUCCUAUCUAAUCAAGUAUUUUUAAAACUUGUUGGAUAUUUUGGACAACCCCCCCCCCAAGUCAAAUUCUGAUCUUUUGACCUGGAAAUAACUUUAGGACUGUCCCAGAACAACUUAAAAGAUUUGUUCUUUUUCCUUAUAAAAAGAAAGGUGUCAGGCUAAUGAGGCAUCUUACAUAUGUUAAAUUACAUGGGAAGCAUUGUUACAUAAAAAAGUAAUACUAAGGUUUUUUUUUUUUUUAAUGUUAUAUUUGUAUGGGUAAGUACAGAUAUUAUAUGAAAUUCCUAGAAAUCAGAUAUCCUGGUAUAAUGUUAUCACCUGUAAUUCUAGUUAUUACAUUUGAAUGUUGUAAUGUCACAGCACUAACCAAAUUUCCUUGUAAUAAACUCUAAUCAGAUCUUACCCAUGACAUGUUCAGGUCUUUUGUCAUUUACAGACAGUUAUUGGUUUACUCUGAUGCUUGGACAAAAGUGCUUCAUUUUUAAGGAGAUACAAGGAAAGGAUGCUAUCAAGUACAGGUUGCUAAUAACUUUCAAAUCAUUCAACUGAACUGGGUAAGAAAUUACAGAACUCUAAUGAAAAAAACAAAACAAAACAAAACUUGAUGGCUUCAUCUAACUGCUACCCGAAGAUCAAGAAGACCAAUAAGAAUUAAAUUAACUGAUGAGGGACUAAAUUAACUGAUGAGGAUGACGACAAUUUUCAUGACUUUUCCUUUAAAACAUUGUAGGUUCUUUUCUGCCUUUUCCAGAUUUAAGAAAAACUUUUUCUUUUCAUUUCCCUUAAGUUUUCAACAGUUUAUAUACAAUCUAUCCUAGUGAAUAAAGAUAAAACAUUUAUCUUUUUCUCCUCACCUGAUCCCGCCAGAACUCUUAGCAAAUACUGUCAUUUACAUGGCCACAGAGUUACUUGAGAUGCUCAAGAGGAAUCUGUCCUCCUUAGAAGAGGACGCAUUGGAAACGCUGGCUGGUUACGUUGCCAUGGCUUUGACUGGGAUGUCACAUUAGAGAGGGUUACACAGAGCUUUAGCUGUGACCAGACAGUUUUAAGGAACUAAGGUCCACUUUAUGGAGCCAAUAAAACUCCUUUAGAAAAACAGCCUGGUGACUUGCUUACAGCGUUCCUGGAAGUCUUACCAGGGGAGUAAGAAGGGUCACUUCCUGGCAGGCUCAAAAACCUCAGGAAAUUUUGAGGACACCUAAAAAAAAAAAGUUAACCCAAAUUUGUAGGUAUUGCAGGCAAAGUCUGAUGAUGAACUGGUUGGCAAGUUCUUGGCUUGGCUUCCGAGGCUCAAUAUGUGAUUCCUUAUGAAAAGUUCCAGCAAACUAAAUUUUACAAAAUCUAUAUGGUCAGCUGCUAUUCUUGUUGUACUUAAGGAAUCAACAAAGCUUAUUGAGAUCAGACCCAAUUUGCAAAUAAACUAGUCUUUCUAUGGUUAUCUUUGAUAUAAGUGGAAAUGAUUAUGAGGGGGAUUAUGAUUCAGUAAUAUACCUUUAUGUGUGUUAAGGAAUGAACUAGCUUAUGGUGCUAUUAGUUACCUUUGUGUUUUCAUUUUCU